rnacentral:rRNA from 1 species
AUUGAGCGCUGGCGGCAGGCCUAUCACAUGCAAGUCGAGCGGAUGAAGGGAGCUUGCUCCUGGAUUCAGCGGCGGACGGGUGAGUAAUGCCUAGGAAUCUGCCUGGUAGUGGGGGAUAACGUCCGGAAACGGGCGCUAAUACCGCAUACGUCCUGCGGGAGAAAGUGGGGGAUCUUCGGACCUCACGCUAUCAGAUGAGCCUAGGUCGGAUUAGCUAGUUGGUGGGGUAAAGGCCGACCAAGGCGACGAUCCGUAACUGGUCUGAGAGGAUGAUCAGUCACACUGGAGCGGGGACACGGUCCAGACUCCUACGGGAGGCAGCAGUGGGGAAUAUUGGACAAUGGGCGAAAACCUGAUCCAGCCAUGCCACGUGUGUGAAGAAGGUCUUCGGAUUGUAAAGCACUUUAAGUUGGGAGGAAGGGCAGUAAGUUAAUACCUUGCUGUUUUGACGGUACCAACAGAAUAAGCACCGGCUAACUUCGUG